rnacentral:rRNA from 1 species
CCUACGGGAGGCAGCAGUGGGGAAUAUUGGACAAUGGGCGAAAGCCUGAUCCAGCAAUGCCGCGUGAGUGAUGAAGGCCUUAGGGUUGUAAAGCUCUUUUACCAGGGAUGAUAAUGACAGUACCUGGAGAAUAAGCUCCGGCUAACUCCGUGCCAGCAGCCGCGGUAAUACGGAGGGAGCUAGCGUUGUUCGGAAUUACUGGGCGUAAAGCGUACGUAGGCGGUUAUUCAAGUCAGAGGUGAAAGCCCGGGGCUCAACCCCGGAACUGCCUUUGAAACUAGAUAGCUAGAAUCUUGGAGAGGUUAGUGGAAUUCCGAGUGUAGAGGUGAAAUUCGUAGAUAUUCGGAAGAACACCAGUGGCGAAGGCGACUAACUGGACAAGUAUUGACGCUGAGGUACGAAAGCGUGGGGAGCAAACAGGAUUAGAUACCCUGGUAGUCCACGCCGUAAACGAUGAUAACUAGCUGUUCGGGCACUUGGUGCCUGAGUGGCGCAGCUAACGCAUUAAGUUAUCCGCCUGGGGAGUACGGUCGCAAGAUUAAAACUCAAAAUGAAAUUGAACGG